CACGCAGGCGGUGACUUAAGUGAGAUGUGAAAGCCCCGGGCUUAACCUGGGAAUUGCAUUUCAUACUGGGUCGCUAGAGUACUUUAGGGAGGGGUAGAAUUCCACGUGUAGCGGUGAAAUGCGUAGAGAUGUGGAGGAAUACCGAAGGCGAAGGCAGCCCCUUGGGAAUGUACUGACGCUCAUGUGCGAAAGCGUGGGGAGCAAACA
rnacentral:rRNA from 1 species